rnacentral:rRNA from 1 species
GAUGAACGCUGGCGGCGUGCCUAAUACAUGCAAGUCGAGCGAUCAGACGAUGAGGUUGCUCCUCUUACGUUAGCGGCGGAUGGGUGAUUAACACGUUGAUAACCUACCUAUAAGACCGGGAUAACUUCGGGAAACCUGAGCUAUUACCGCCUAAUAUAUUGAAGCGGAUGGUUAAAUAGGUAAAGGCGUUUUUGCGGGCACUUAUAGAUGCAGCCGCGCCGCAUUAGCUAGUUGUUAAGGGAACGGGUUACGAAGGCAGCGAUGGGGAGCCGACGGGAGCGGGUGAUCGCCCACCCUGGAACGUGGCCACGCUCCAGACGCCUACGGGAGGCAGCAGUAGGGAAUCUUACGCAAUGGGCGAAAGCUUGACGGAGCAACGCCGCGUGAGUGAUGACGGUCUUCGGAGCGUAAAACUCUGUUAUUAGGGAAGAACAAAUGUGUAAGUAAAUAUGCACGUAUUGACGGUACCUAAUCAGAAAGCCACGGCUAACUACGUG